GUUUUUGGAGGCCUUCGUUGCUUGUGAUUGGAAGCAAGAGAGUGCUGGAAAUACAACCACUAGUGAUGCCAGCUAUCAUGCCAUCGCCUUUUCAAGUGCCCCCAGCUGUGCGGGCGGAGGAAGCCCUGACUAUUUUUGGUGCGGAGUGAGUUGUGUGCGGGGUGAUGUGUUGCCAUCGCGCUGUGCCUUUCCCUCCAUCUGUGCCCCUCGGGGAGAAGAGCCACAGAAAGCUGUGGGUCCCUGCUCCUCCUGACUGCUAUUUGAUACAAGCACAGUCUGAAUGCUUUGCUGAACUGGGACCUUGCUGUGGUGAAGCUUAGGGGUUACCAUAUGGAACUGAAGGAGACAUCUCAAGAUUAAAAGCUCCACAAAGAAGGGAUCUCCAAAAAGAAAUCCUUCCCCAGUGUUAGUCAGCCCUUAAAUGGGGUCUAGGUCACACAGGUGAAUUGCCUUCACCUGUGCUCCUACGGCUGACCCAGUCCUUGCUUCAGGUGAUCAAUCAGUGGUUCAGGCCGCG
ensembl:lncRNA